GCGGCAAACGGGUGAGUAACACGUGGGUAACCUACCCUUGAGUGGGGAAUAACAUCUCGAAAGAGGUGCUAAUACCGCAUGACAUCGAGAGGGCUCUGGCCUUUUCGAUCAACGGUUGGGAUCUUCGGACCAACCGCUCGAGGAUGGGCCCGCGGCUGAUUAGCUAGUUGGUGGGGUAAUGGCCUACCAAGGCGACGAUCAGUAGCCGGCCUGAGAGGGCGAUCGGCCACACUGGAACUGAGACACGGUCCAGACUCCUACGGGAGGCAGCAGUGAGGAAUUUUGGACAAUGGGCGAAAGCCUGAUCCAGCAACGCCGCGUGGACGAUGAAGGUCUUCGGAUCGUAAAGUCCUGUCGAGUGGGAAGAAAUGCAGGAGGGUUAACAGCCUUCCUGCCUGACUGUACCACCAGAGGAAGCCCCGGCUAACUCCGUGCCAGCAGCCGCGGUAAUACGGAGGGGGCAAGCGUUGUUCGGAAUUAUUGGGCGUAAAGGGCGCGUAGGCGGCGAGGUAAGUCAGACGUGAAAUCCCUCGGCUUAACCGAGGAAUUGCGUUUGAUACUGCCAUGCUUGAGGCCAGGAGAGGAGAGUGGAAUUCCCAGUGUAGCGGUGAAAUGCGUAGAUAUUGGGAGGAACACCGGUGGCGAAGGCGGCUCUCUGGACUGGUUCUGACGCUGAGGCGCGAAAGCUAGGGGAGCAAACAGGAUUAGAUACCCUGGUAGUCCUAGCUGUAAACGAUGGAUGCUUGGUGUAGGGGGUAUCGACCCCUCCUGUGCCGAAGCUAACGCGAUAAGCAUCCCGCCUGGGGAGUACGGUCGCAAGGCUGAAACUCAAAGGAAUUGACGGGGGCCCGCACAAGCGGUGGAGCAUGUGGUUUAAUUCGACACACGCGAAGAACCUUACCUGGGUUUGAACUGCAGAUGACAACCUCCGAAAAGAGGUCUCCCUUCGGGGUGUCUGCAGAGGUGCUGCAUGGCUGUCGUCAGCUCGUGUCGUGAGAUGUUGGGUUAAGUCCCGCAACGAGCGCAACCCUUAUCCUUAGUUGCCAUCGGGUCAUGCCGGGAACUCUAAGGAGACUGCCCCGGAAAACGGGGAGGAAGGUGGGGAUGACGUCAAGUCCUCAUGGCCUCUAUGUCCAGGGCUACACACGUGCUACAAUGGGCGAUACAAAGGGUCGCAAAGCCGCGAGGUGGAGCUAAUCCCAAAAAGUCGCUCUCAGUUCGGAUUGCAGUCUGCAACUCGACUGCAUGAAGUUGGAAUCGCUAGUAAUCCCGGAUCAGCAGGCCGGGGUGAAUACGUUCCCGGGCCUUGUACACACCGCCCGUCACAUCACGAAAGUCGGCUGC
rnacentral:rRNA from 1 species